rnacentral:rRNA from 1 species
UACAGAGGGUGCGAGCGUUGUCCGGAAUUACUGGGCGUAAAGGGCGCGUAGGCGGCUUGGUAAGUCGGGGGUGAAAGUCAGCGGCUCAACCGCUGGACUGCCUUCGAGACUGCCUGGCUUGAGCAUGGUAGAGGCUGGCGGAAUUCCCGGUGUAGCGGUGGAAUGCGUAGAGAUCGGGAGGAACACCAGCGGCGAAGGCGGCCCCCUGGGCCGCUCCUGACGCUGAGACGCGAAGGCCAGGGUAGCGAACGGG